AGAAACCAUUGCUACAUCUCUUCUGGCCACAAUUAUUCUGAUAGGUAACUUGCAGGCUGUUUAGCUCUUUAAAGGACUGUACCAGAAUAAAUCAGUUUUUCUGUGGGAAAGGAGAAAUACACAUCAAGGACAAGGCAGUCUGUGGAUUUAGUUCCUCGGGGAGUGGUGAUUCUGCCCCACUGUUUGGUAUUGAGUAAGAAAGUAAGAGGAUCUCAGAGAACUCGGGCAGAUGACCUUUAUAAAAUUGUUGCAGCUUUCAAAGGAGUAAGGGUAGUGAAAGCAAAGAAGUGUGCCUUGGCUUGCAUAUACGAAGAAAGGAAAGAAAAUCCUAUCAAAUUUCUUCAUUUUCUUUAUUAAAAGAUGCUUACCACUCUGAUUAGCUUUGAGCUUAGCAACAGUUCCCUGAGGACUAUUCUCCACAGGCAAAAAUGAAGGACAGUGCAGAGGACAAUUAUUCAGUGCCUAUUGAGGAAGAAGAACAGAUGCACACCAAUACCGACUGACUUAAUUCUCCAAGCUCUUCUUCCAACUUCUCAAAGGCAAAACAGUCUUCUGUUUGCAAAAACCUCCGAGGCUUUAUAAUUUUAGGACAUAAUAAAGUGAAUAGAGAAAAAAAGAUAUCUGGAAGAUAAGAGCAUCACAACUACUUGAGGACUUUGUAACACUUGGAGUUUUGUUACUCUCUGUGGUUGUUGUUUGCAAUUGGAUGAAAAACUCUUAAUAGCUUCCAGGUAGAAAGAUUUAAAGAACGGAAUUCUGAAGUCUUCAAUCAAGAGCAUGAAGGCUCAUAAACAGUUUGAUUUUAUGACCUUUACCCAAACGGAUUUUGUUUUUAAAGCAUUUUGGCAAGGCAUGUUCCACCAUAUGAAGGCAGAAAGAACAUUUAGAUAAGUGCAUGCCGGGGGCUUGGUUUCCAUUAAGAGGGAAUUCAGCACUCUUCCAAACAGAAAGGCAUCCUGGACACGAUGCAAGAAGGACAUUGUGAGAAGAGAUCCAGAUUUAGCAAUGAGGAUGCAAACAUGAAAGCAAUUCCUUGAUGGAAAGACGUUUUAAAAUUCUG
rnacentral:lncRNA from 1 species